rnacentral:misc_RNA from 1 species
GAUGAAGAACGCAGCGAAAUGCGAUAAGUAAUGUGAAUUGCAGAAUUCAGUGAAUCAUCGAAUCUUUGAACGCACAUUGCGCCCCUUGGUAUUCUGAGGGGCAUGCCUGUUCGAGCGUCAUUAUAACCCCUCAAGCUCAGCUUGGUGUUGGGGCCUGCUGCACUGGCAGCCCUUAAAAUCAGUGGCGGCGCCAUCUGGCUCUAAGCGUAGUAAUUCUUCUCGCUAUGGAGUCCUGGUGGAUGCUUGCCAUCAACCCCCAAUUUUUCUAUGGUUGACCUCGGAUCAGGUAGGGAUACCCGCUGAACUUAAGCAUAUCAAUAAGCGGAGGA